rnacentral:rRNA from 1 species
UACGGGGGGGAGCAAGCGUUGUUCGGAUUUACUGGGCGUAAAGGGCGCGUAGGCGGUCAGCACAAGUCAGUUGUGAAAUCUCCGGGCUUAACUCGGAACGGUCAAGUGAUACUGUCGGACUAGAGUACAGAAGGGGCAACUGGAAUUCUCGGUGUAGCGGUGAAAUGCGUAGAUAUCGGGAGGAACACCAGUGGCGAAGGCGAGUCUCUGGGCUGUAUCUGACGCUGAUGCGCGAAAAGCUAGGGGAGCAAACGGGG